AUUGAACGCUGGCGGCAGGCCUAACACAUGCAAGUCGAGCGGAUGAAGGUAGCUUGCUAUCUGAUUCAGCGGCGGACGGGUGAGUAAUGCCUAGGAAUCUGCCUGGCAGUGGGGGACAACGUUUCGAAAGGAACGCUAAUACCGCAUACGUCCUACGGGAGAAAGUGGGGGAUCUUCGGACCUCACGCUAUCAGAUGAGCCUAGGUACGAUUAGCUAGUUGGUGAGGUAAAGGCUCACCAAGGCGACGAUCGUUAACUGGUCUGAGAGGAUGAUCAGUCACACUGGAACUGAGACACGGUCCAGACUCCUACGGGAGGCAGCAGUGGGGAAUAUUGGACAAUGGGCGAAAGCCUGAUCCAGCCAUGCCGCGUGUGUGAAGAAGGUCUUCGGAUUGUAAAGCACUUUAAGUUGGGAGGAAGGGCAGUAAGUUAAUACCUUGCUGUUUUGACGUUACCGACAGAAUAAGCACCGGCUAACUUCGUGCCAGCAGCCGCCGUAAGAC
rnacentral:rRNA from 1 species